UUGCUCUUACUGCUAACAUGUG
rnacentral:piRNA from 1 species